rnacentral:rRNA from 1 species
GACAGAGGGUGCAAACGUUGUUCGGAUUUACUGGGCGUAAAGCGUGUGUAGGCGGCUUGGCAAGUUGGAUGUGAAAGCCCACGGCUCAACCGUGGAAGCGCAUUCAAAACUGCUUCGCUCGAGUCUCGGAGAGGAAGGUGGAAUGCUUGGUGUAGAGGUGAAAUUCGUAGAUAUCAAGCAGAACACCUGCGGCGAAGGCGGCCUUCUGGACGAUGACUGACGCUGAGACACGAAAGCGUGGGGAGCAAACAGG